ACAGCAAUGAUGCAUUAGUGUUUGAGUUUUUUCCACAUUGCCUCCAGCAUUUGUCAUUUUCUUUUUCUCUCAUGUUAGCAUUUACAAAUUUUUCAAAUAGUUUAUAUAAUAUUGAGAUUAAUUAUUCCUUUAAUGUUUGGUAGAAUCCACUUGUAAAGCCAUCUGGUCCUGGGAAUUUUUUUCUGAAAGAACUCAAAUGGCUUGGCGAUUUCUUCUUCUAAGCUAGGGUUAUUUCUUCCUCUGGAUGUGGAUAGUGUUCUUUCUCAUAGAUUCCUCAGAAUUGUCCUGGAUCAUUGCAUUACUGAUAGUAGAGAAGUCCAUUACAUUUGAUUAUACCACAGUGUAUCAGUCUCUGUGUACAAUGUUCUCCUGGAUCUGCUCCUUUCAUGUGGCAUUUAUGUGAAAACACAAACAAGAACUGCACAGGAGGUAACAUGAUACAAAUCUAUCCUAGUGAAGGAAAGAUUUCCAUCAGUGUGAUAAUGAAGCCAUCCAAAUGUCAGAGUAAAUAAAGGUAGGAUAGUCAUUCUACA
rnacentral:lncRNA from 1 species